rnacentral:misc_RNA from 1 species
AAGUCGUAACAAGGUUUCCGUAGGUGAACCUGCGGAAGGAUCAUUGCAAAAAGGGAGAGAGAAAUUUGUUGGAACGCGAAGAAAUAGCUUAUUGACAACUACAUUUAUUACUUUUACAACUCUCCACAAUGGAUCUCUGGGCUCUU